GAUGAACGCUGGCGGCGUGCCUAAUACAUGCAAGUCGAGCGAACGGACGAGAAGCUUGCUUCUCUGAUGUUAGCGGCGGACGGGUGAGUAACACGUGGAUAACCUACCUAUAAGACUGGGAUAACUUCGGGAAACCGGAGCUAAUACCGGAUAAUAUUUUGAACCGCAUGGUUCAAAAGUGAAAGACGGUCUUGCUGUCACUUAUAGAUGGAUCCGCGCUGCAUUAGCUAGUUGGUAAGGUAACGGCUUACCAAGGCAACGAUGCAUAGCCGACCUGAGAGGGUGAUCGGGCACACUGGAACUGAGACACGGUCCAGACUCCUACGGGAGGCAGCAGUAGGGAAUCUUCCGCAAUGGGCGAAAGCCUGACGGAGCAACGCCGCGUGAGUGAUGAAGGUCUUCGGAUCGUAAAACUCUGUUAUUAGGGAAGAACAUAUGUGUAAGUAACUGCGCACAUCUUGACGGUACCUAAUCAGAAAGCCACGGCUAACUACGUG
rnacentral:rRNA from 1 species